rnacentral:rRNA from 1 species
CGAUAGCGUAUAUUUAAGUUGUUGCAGUUAAAAAGCUCGUAGUUGGAUUUCUGGUGGGAGCGAUCGGUCUGGCGCUUAGCGCGAGUACUUGCAUCGUCUCCGGCCAUCCUUGGGGAGAGUCUGUCUGGCAUUAGGUUGUCGGGCAGAGGAUCCUCAUCGUUUACUGUGAAAAAAUUAGAGUGUUCAAAGCAGGCUUAUGCCGUUGAAUAUAUUAGCAUGGAAUAAUAAGAUAGGACUUUGGUACUAUUUUGUUGGUUUGCGCACCAAAGUAAUGAUUAAUAGGGACAGUUGGGGGUAUUCGUAUUCCGUUGUCAGAGGUGAAAUUCUUGGAUUUACGGAAGACGAACUACUGCGAAAGCAUUUACCAAGGAUGUUUUCAUUAA